GCUGGCUGAACACAACCGACGGCUACAUAUGGGCAUUCACCGGACCACUGAUAGUGAUGCUGGUGGUGAACUUCACGGCGCUGACGCUCGCCCUGCACUCAGCCGCCUCGCUGGUCAUCAACAGACGCCGCUCCGUCCCGGAGCGCGUCAGGGUUUGGAUUAAAGGAAGCAUUUCUCUGUCCGCGAUCCUGGGAGUUACGUGGGUGUGUGGACUCGUGUACAUGACAAGCAGCCAUGUUAUGGCUUACUUCUUCACCGUCCU